GAAACCCUGUCUCUACUAAAAAUACAAAAAUUAGCUGGGCAUGGUGGCACAUGCCUCCAGUCCCAGCUACUUGGGAGGCUGAGACACAAGAAUCACUUGAACUUGAGAGGCAGAGGUUGCAAUGAGCUGAGAUUGUGCCACUGCACUCCAGCCUAGGCAACAGAGUGAGAGUCUAUCUCAAAAAAACAAAAACAAAAACAAAAACAAAACAAAACAAAGACAACGUAGAGCCAGUCAGGGUGGCAAGAGCACCUGUAGUCCCCACAACUCACGAGGCUGUUCUGUGUAGUAGCUGUGUUCUUAGUAUUCCUGAUGUGACAGUCAGCUUGACCUAUGGAUAUUUUAGUUAAGAUAAAAACGAAGAACAAAAUUACCUAAUUCAAGAAAUUACAGGCUUAUCCGGUAUAUCUAUCCAUGUUUAUUUCCUCUGAUGGUUUCAGGUUGAUUUCAAAAUACUUAACUAAAAACGUAUUUCAAUUUACUGUUUUUAAAAGACAGUUACCAGUUUAAAAGACAGUUCUGUAAGUCAACUAUCAAUGCUCAGGUAAAUGUAUAUCUUAAUUAAGUUUAACUUACCUCUCCAGGGGGAACACACCUGAAACUAGAGGAACAGCUUAUGUGGUCUAUGAGGACAUCUUUGAUGCCAAGAAUGCAUGUGAUCACCUAUCGGGAUUCAAUGUUUGUAACAGAUACCUUGUGGUUUUGUACUAUAAUGCCAACAGGGCAUUUCAGAAGAUGGACACAAAGAAGAAGGAGGAACAGUUGAAGCUUCUCAAGGAGAAAUAUGGCAUCAACACAGAUCCACCAAAAUAAAUGUUUUCUACAUUUUCAUUUGGACUAAAUCCCACGAAUGACAACUACCACCUUUUUUUCCUUUUUAAUUAAUACUAAAUAUUGUGAUUUCUUAUUUGAGGUUCAAAAUGACCUGCUUGAAACUUUGAUACAUAUUGGAAUACAUUAUGUUAAUAAACUUGUAGCUUUU
rnacentral:lncRNA from 1 species